rnacentral:rRNA from 1 species
CCAGGAUUUAGAUACCCUGGUAGUCCACGCCCUAAACGAUGUCAACUAGCUGUUGGGGCCUUCGGGCCUUGGUAGCGCAGCUAACGCGUGAAGUUGACCGCCUGGGGAGUACGGUCGCAAGAUUAAAACUCAAAGGAAUUGACGGGGACCCGCACAAGCGGUGGAUGAUGUGGAUUAAUACGAUGCAACGCGAAAAACCUUACCUACCCUUGACAUGUCUGGAAUUCUGAAGAGAUUCGGAAGUGCUCGCAAGAGAACCGGAACACAGGUGCUGCAUGGCUGUCGUCAGCUCGUGUCGUGAGAUGUUGGGUUAAGUCCCGCAACGAGCGCAACCCUUGUCAUUAGUUGCUACGAAAGGGCACUCUAAUGAGACUGCCGGUGACAAACCGGAGGAAGGUGGGGAUGACGUCAAGUCCUCAUGGCCCUUAUGGGUAGGGCUUCACACGUCAUACAAUGGUCGGGACAGAGGGUCGCCAACCCGCGAGGGGGAGCCAAUCCCAGAAACCCGAUCGUAGUCCGGAUCGCAGUCUGCAACUCGACUGCGUGAAGUCGGAAUCGCUAGUAAUCGCGGAUCACGCAUGUCGCGGUGAAUACGUUCCCGGGUCUUGUACAUCAACCGCCCGUCACAUCCAUGGGAGUGGGUUUUAGCCAGAUAGUAGUUAGCCUAAUCCGUAAUGGGGGGGCGAUUAACGCACCGGUAGGAUUCAUGAGCUGGGGUAAGUC